AACGAACGCUGGCGGCAUGCCUAACACAUGCAAGUCGAACGAGACCUUCGGGUCUAGUGGCGCACGGGUGCGUAACGCGUGGGAACCUGCCCUUAGGUUCGGAAUAACUCCCCGAAAGGGGUGCUAAUACCGGAUAAUGUCUUCGGACCAAAGAUUUAUCGCCUUUGGAUGGGCCCGCGUUGGAUUAGCUAGUUGGUAGGGUAAAAGCCUACCAAGGCGACGAUCCAUAGCUGGUCUGAGAGGAUGAUCAGCCACACUGGGACUGAGACACGGCCCAGACUCCUACGGGAGGCAGCAGUGGGGAAUAUUGGACGAUGGGGGAAAGCCUGAUCCAGCAAUGCCGCGGGAGUGAUGAAGGCCUUAGGGUUGUAAAGCUCUUUUACCCGGGAUGAUAAUGACAGUAACGGGAGAAUAAGCUCCGGCUAACUCCGUG
rnacentral:rRNA from 1 species